CUGCAUAGUAUUAUUAGGAGGAUUAUGGGCCUGCUUUAUGGCACUGUUGUGCCUGGUGAUUACUAUAUCUGCUGUUAUUGUUUGCUACUGGUACUGUGGGAUUGUGCUGUUGUGGGAAAAGAAGAAAAAAUUGAAAAGCUAUUUCAGUGCCACAUCUCUGAGCUUAAAUAGGUGAUCUUGACUUCCAUGGCUACUUGAUCAAAUCAAUUUCUUUGAGAAAGCUUCUAUCAGCAAGAAGAUAUUACAAUGUGCUCGAUAACAUCUGCAGUGCUGACAGUAGCAACAACACUCUCCCUGCUAACCACCCCCAAGAACAUGACAUCUCCAGCAGUAGUUUUCAGGCUGUUAUGAUGGAUGGCAGUAGUUUUGUGUGCCCUGCUAUAUGGGACAGGGGUAAGGCAUGGUGGGGAGAUGCCGUGAUGCAGAUGUGAGGAUGAAGGGGAAUUUGACUACUGAGCUGCAGCUCUGAAUGUCAGAGAGAAUUAAGGCAGCAGAACAAAUUAUGUCAAGAACUCUAUUUUCUUAAGCUAUUUUAAACAGAAAAUAUUAAACUUAACUCCUUUUUAUUACCUGGCUACCUUACAAUGACCUGUGCUUGUCAAAAAAGCCAAUUACAGUGGAAAAGUAUUGCACUUGUAUAAUAUUUGUAAUGCAGCCUUGCAGUAGACAGUUCAAAAAAAAAUCCACAAUUUCUUCAGAUAGUUAAAUCUAUACACUAGUAAAUGCAAAGUAUUAAAAGCUGUAUGGAAGCAUGAAAAAUGUUCAAAUGCCAAAUUUUGGUUGUUUUCCUGUUUUGAAAGAAUUUUAUGGUCUCCCACUGAGAUAAUGUUGAAAAUCUCUACUUUAACCCUGAAAAACAGAUGGUAGCAUUUUUAAGGAGGAGGAAUUUUUCAUUUUCAUAGGGACAAAAACAGAUGUAGGAAAGACUUGAUCUAUUUAAUUUCAUGUAACAGCUAUGUAUUUAAGUGAAAAAUAGUGGAGCAGAGGGCAUAGUUAGAGCUUUGUGAAUUGGAUGUACUUUCAGUGUGUGAAAAGCAUUUAAUUUCAGAUUGCAUUGUGGAAGAACAUUGCUCUCCAUAUUUCUUCUGUUUACCUUCUUCCCAACAGUGUUCACUUCUACUGAAGCUUGUAUUUGUAUCUAUUAAGUGAACUGCAGCUGAAGGGGGUGUGUGUGGCAGGUUUGAAGAACACCUCUAGAAAGAAAGGUUUAAAAAAGCAAAAAUUAACCUGUUGACAAGUUUUUCUAGUCCCUAUAUAUUUAUAUUGAGUUUUUGUAGAUCACCUUGCUGUCUGACAGCAAGAUCUAUGGACCUUUAGGACUAAAGUCUGCUUGUGCAACUUCCUUGAAUUCGUAUUGCCUGCUUCAUUCUCAAUGUUACUGAUGAAUCAUUCUUCUAGUGCAUUUUGAGCUAUCAAGAAAUGAGCUUAAUGCAAUUAUCUCCUGUGACACAUAUUGCCCAUUAUGGGGAGCUUUUAAUGUGAAGGAGAAAGUUCACUUUGCUCUGGCAUUCAGUGAUAUUCUCUGUAGUUUCAGUGGCUUGGCAUCUGUACUAGGUAGGAGAAUAAGUAUUUAUUGUGAAUCUGUCUCGGUAUUUUAGUUUUCCCUACAAAAUUCUUUUAAUCUCUGAAAAAUUUUGGAUGGGUACCAUAUUAUAUAAAUUCAUGUAAUAAUUUGAUUUCUGAAAUGUGUAAAAAAACACCAUAAAACAACUUCAGCGAUACCAAGUUGGUAUUUGGUUGCUCUGCAAGUAAUCUUUCUUUUUCUGAUUAAAGAAUAUAUGUAGCAAAAUGC